rnacentral:lncRNA from 1 species
GCUUGGAGAAGAGGAGGAGGCUGAAAAGAAGGCAAAGAGUGAAGAUAGAGAAACAAGAUGGAAGUGGGGGAGAAAAACAGGGAUGAGAGAAUGCCAUGGUGGUGCUGAGAAGGAAAGGAGAGACUUUUCUGCUUGUAAAGGGCAGAAGAUGGCAGAAUCCAGUGACGCAGGGGCAUCUGGCUCCAGAAAUAAUAGGUCACUUGGCACCCACUUCUUCAAAACGACUCAUAGAGGUACCACCUUGGUUGUCUUGGAUAAAAUCUGGAAUAAUUAUCUGGGUUACCAGGAGAGACUCUUGUUCUUUUCGCUUACUUUCUCCAAAACAUAUGAAGCCUCUCUCUCUGUGUUGAACCACCUGGAACUGGAGGUGUGAUGGGUUAUAGAGAUGAAAAUGCAUAUGGAAUUAUCAUGCAAAUUACCAAUAAAGAGAAUCACUGGUCAGAAUCCCUAUAUUUUGGAGAAGAAAAAUUUUGAAAACCAAACAGUCAGAUAGAAUUCAAUCAACUGCAGUUGGGAGAAAGACAGCGAGUAGCUUGAGAGAGAUGAGAAACUAUCAAAAAGAAGUUCCUGACAUGGCAACAGUGUAUCAUCCAAUGAAUCAAUCGCCUCACCCAACACUGUAACACUUGCUGGCCUAUUGACUCAGAGCAUGAGGAAACCAAAGUGACCAGGGAUUAAAAGCUAUCUCUGGAGAAGAUGAUGUCAGCAAGAUGGCAGAAUAGAAAAAUCCAGGUCCUGGUUCCACCACAGAAACAUGAAGUAAACAACAAAGGAAUGGCUUAAUAGCCUUGUGAGAGCUCUAAAAACCAGUCAAGA